rnacentral:tRNA from 1 species
GCUGCGCACAGCCUCGGCACGAUGAUGGUGGGCCGGCUGCUGAUCGGCGUCGGCGUAUCGGUGUGUCUCGGCGCGGCGUUCAAGGCGCUCGCGCAGCA